rnacentral:tRNA from 1 species
UCCAAUGUGGUGUAGUGGCUAACAUUGCUGUCUUUCAUAUUGUGUAUGCACAGCAGCCCGGGGUUCGAUUCCCCGCAUUGGAA